CAGAGACUGCAAGCGUUAUUCGGAUUCACUGGGCGUAAGGGUGCGCAGGCGGUUGUGUGUGUCAGGUGUGAAAGCCCGGGGCUUAACCCCGGAAUUGCGCCUGAAACUACAUGACUAGAGCAUUGGAGAGGGUAGCGGAAUUCACGGUGUAGCAGUGAAAUGCGUAGAUAUCGUGAGGAACACCAGAGGCGAAGGCGGCUACCUGGACAAUUGCUGACGCUCAGGCACGAAAAGCGUGGGGAGCAAAAGGGAUU
rnacentral:rRNA from 1 species